AUUCUUAUAAGACACUUUUACGUUUUGAUGAAUAAUAAUUUACAUGAUAUCUUUUCUAUUCAUUCCCAUGACGCAUAUAUACAUACAUUUGCGUAAAUCCCAUCAACACAAAAUCAGAGGGGAAAACGUUGUUGUAAAUGCAGGACUUUACAAGACCUGCAGCUGUAAUUCAGUUACAAUUCGAAAUGUACAAGCAACAUUUUAUUCGAGAAUAUUUUUUAAAAUGUGAAUAAUUUAUUAUAUUGAGGGUUUAAAUUGUCAUUCAGAAAUAUGCAAAUAAUUUUGGAUUUAGGGAUUACUUUCCACUGAAGCUCAGGCAAAUUAAGAUAAAUACCCAGUGUCUUUUGAAAUGCAGAUAUUUCUCUUCUAUUUGAUUGGUGAACAUUUCACAGUGCACAUUCCCUGGCUCUCUGCUCUCUAAGGCCACCGUGGAGCUUGUUUUGGAGAGGCUGCAACCUGACUCUAAUGUGCUGUGAAUGAGAGACCUGAGCUCGGAUUAAGACCGCCGCGGCUGGCCUGGCCCCACAGCCGAUGUGCACAUGCUGAUCCGAGGGGCUCCUGAUGGCACAUGUGAAACACAACCUUAAAAUAUCACACACACUAAGACGGUUCAAGCACCAACUAACGCCCUAUGAGUGAAUCAAAACAGGGAAAAAAACAUCCAGUCUGUCCUUUCCACCGUCCUGCUUGCAGGCCAUUUUAUUUGGAUAAAUUGCAGGGACACAAACAACUCGAGUGUCUUUGCGACCACACGCUCCGCCUCUCAGUCAAUCCAGACAAAUUCUACGAGUUGUGCUGAAGCUUUUAAGCUGUAAUUGAGCACAGGAUGCCCAGGAAAACCAAAGCCAGCUCUGCACAGACCUGCGUUUUUAUAGCUGCUAUAGUAUUCUGCUGCGCUUUUUUUCUCUCCGGCCAGACAGACACCACAAAACUGACCAAGCGUGAUGGGAAGUCGCCACCUACACGGACUCAAAGUCAGCAGCUGAGGAUUUUCAACGACAUAGAAACAUAUCAUGUCCGUAAACAACUAAGGUGACAGAAAUGUGGGCCGACCGCGAUGGCGACGACAGAGGGGCCAGGCGGACCACACAGGGGCCAUGCAGGGAAACUGACCAACUCCACGGUCAACGGGAGAACCUCUGACUAAGCAGUGGAGACUCGGGAUUAGCCUGUAGAGGGUAUCCUGGGAAACAAGGCGUGAGCAGCAGCGGGCCUGGACAAAAGGAUAUAAACUGGACUUCAGUUGGGGGAAUAAAUGACACUUUACAAAGGCGGAAAAGAUAGAAGGGAAAAGACAGACUGAUAGAAAUAAGUCACAAUUUAGGUGAAGUGAUCAGAUUAAACAAGGAACUCAUAAUGUGCAAACAAGACUAUUGCGUCAGAAAAACCUGUCUUAAUUACGCACUUGCCAUUGCUGGCUUGUGGGAUUUUAGAACGAAAAAGAAAUUGUGAGGAUUAGAAUUUAAUUUCAGUCCUCCAAUUGUUUGCGUGUGCCCAAAAAUAACAUUUCUGAAACUUUUAAUAACAAAAAAAAGUCGAAUUGAGCCAUUGAAUCCUAAACCUUGUGUUAUUUAAAUGGGGUUUUCUCCCCUUGGUCCUUUGAUUUAAAAAAAGAAGUCUAUUCUCUAGAUGUUUGCUUCGUUUUCACUAUCUGUACUGAAUUUAAGAUGCACUUAAGAUGUGAUCUCCCACAACAAGAUACAUAGAAUAUUUAACAGUCCUAGGAGCUAAUUUUACAUUUCCAAAGAAAAUGUUAAGUCUAACUAAGGCAACGCAGUUAUUUUUUAUCCAAACACUGGAAAUUUAGAUGACAUUGCUUUUUUCCGAAUGUAAAUAUUUCGGUUAGCGGCAAUAGACACUGCAUAUAGUCUGCUUCAAAUAGGUACAGCAUUUAGAUCAAAUAUAUUCUGACUCAUGGUAAACAGGUUUAUUCGAUUGAACCACCAACUUCAACAAAAAUGUGUCCGCUAAAAUACAUUUCUCACUAUACAUUUUCUUAUAAUCACCUUUGCCUCGCAUUUUUCUAUCCAAGCUCAAAUUAACAGAUCUUAACUGAUCCAGGUACUUAUGGGCAUCAAAUGGCCAAAUACAAUAUCUACUAUCUCCUUAAAAAUCCCAGUGGAUUGUAGUUCAAUAAUUUAUUUAAAAGACCAAAAUAGGUGAGAUUAUUACCCUUUCAUUAGCACUUAUUCAGUUGUUUUUUUUAUUUUUUCAUAUCAGACUAUUGUCUGGAUAGGAUACGAAUAUGAAACAACUGCAGCGGUUUUUAAAACAGUCAAAGAAGCACAGAUUUCUAUAUUCCUCCAUAUCGCUUUGAUAGGGAAUCACAUGUUCAAGAAGACAAGCUUUAGUGUAUUCACCAAAGAUUUGCGGCACAAAUUGGCCUCAUAAUAUGUUGUGCAAGUUUAUGUUUAUUCAUUGACUACAAUAAACGUGAAACAUGUAUUUUGUGUUAUGAGAAAUUGAGUAAUCUGUGUUUAGGCAAAUAAAAAGCAGGCGACGCACAUGUUCUGCUUUCACUGA